rnacentral:rRNA from 1 species
GGUUAAGCGACUAAGCGUACACGGUGGAUGCCUAGGCAGUCAGAGGCGAUGAAGGGCGUGCUAAUCUGCGAAAAGCGUCGGUAAGCUGAUAUGAAGCGUAAUAACCGACGAUACCCGAAUGGGGAAACCCAGUGCAAUUCGUUGCACUAUUGCAUGGUGAAUACAUAGCCAUGCAAGGCGAACCGGGGGAACUGAAACAUCUAAGUACCCCGAGGAAAAGAAAUCAACCGAGAUUCCCCCAGUAGCGGCGAGCGAACGGGGAAGAGCCCAGAGUCUGAAUCAGUUGGUGUGUUAGUGGAAGCGUCUGGAAAGUCGCACGGUACAGGGUGAUAGUCCCGUACACAAAAACACACUGGCUGUGAACUCGAUGAGUAGGGCGGGACACGUGACAUCCUGUCUGAAUAUGGGGGGACCAUCCUCCAAGGCUAAAUACUCCUGACUGACCGAUAGUGAACCAGUACCGUGAGGGAAAGGCGAAAAGAACCCCGGCGAGGGGAGUGAAAUAGAACCUGAAACCGUGUACGUACAAGCAGUGGGAGCACCUUCGUGGUGUGACUGCGUACCUUUUGUAUAAUGGGUCAGCGACUUAUAUUUUGUAGCAAGGUUAACCGAAUAGGGGAGCCGUAGGGAAACCGAGUCUUAACUGGGCGUCUAGUUGCAAGGUAUAGACCCGAAACCCGGUGAUCUAGCCAUGGGCAGGUUGAAGGUUGGGUAACACUAACUGGAGGACCGAACCGACUAAUGUUGAAAAAUUAGCGGAUGACUUGUGGCUGGGGGUGAAAGGCCAAUCAAACCGGGAGAUAGCUGGUUCUCCCCGAAAGCUAUUUAGGUAGCGCCUCGUGAACUCAUCUUCGGGGGUAGAGCACUGUUUCGGCUAGGGGUCCAUCCCGGAUUACCAAACCGAUGCAAACUCCGAAUACCGAAGAAUGUUAUCACGGGAGACACACGGCGGGUGCUAACGUCCGUCGUGAAGAGGGAAACAACCCAGACCGCCAGCUAAGGUCCCAAAGUCAUGGUUAAGUGGGAAACGAUGUGGGAAGGCAUAGACAGCCAGGAUGUUGGCUUAGAAGCAGCCAUCAUUUAAAGAAAGCGUAAUAGCUCACUGGUCGAGUCGGCCUGCGCGGAAGAUGUAACGGGGCUAAACCAUGCACCGAAGCUGCGGCAGCGACGCUUAGGCGUUGUUGGGUAGGGGAGCGUUCUGUAAGCCGUUGAAGGUGGCCUGUGAGGGCUGCUGGAGGUAUCAGAAGUGCGAAUGCUGACAUAAGUAACGAUAAUGCGGGUGAAAAACCCGCACGCCGGAAGACCAAGGGUUCCUGUCCAACGUUAAUCGGGGCAGGGUGAGUCGACCCCUAAGGCGAGGCUGAAAAGCGUAGUCGAUGGGAAACAGGUUAAUAUUCCUGUACUGGGUGUGACUGCGAAGGGGGGACGGAGAAGGCUAGGCUAGCCGGGCGACGGUUGUCCCGGUUUAAGCAUGUAGGCGGAGUGACUUGGUAAAUCCGGUUGCUUAUCAACGCUGAGGUGUGAUGACGAGCCACUACGGUGGUGAAGUAGUUGAUGCCAAGCUUCCAGGAAAAGCCUCUAAGCAUCAGGUGACAUUCAAUCGUACCCCAAACCGACACAGGUGGUCAGGUAGAGAAUACUCAGGCGCUUGAGAGAACUCGGGUGAAGGAACUAGGCAAAAUGGUGCCGUAACUUCGGGAGAAGGCACGCUGGCAUUAGGUAAAGAGACUUGCUCUCGGCGCCGAAGCCAGUCGCAGAUACCAGCUGGCUGCAACUGUUUAAUAAAAACACAGCACUGUGCAAACACGAAAGUGGACGUAUACGGUGUGACGCCUGCCCGGUGCUGGAAGGUUAAUUGAUGGGGUCAGCCGCAAGGCGAAGCUCUUGAUCGAAGCCCCAGUAAACGGCGGCCGUAACUAUAACGGUCCUAAGGUAGCGAAAUUCCUUGUCGGGUAAGUUCCGACCUGCACGAAUGGCGUAAUGAUGGCCAGGCUGUCUCCACCCGAGACUCAGUGAAAUUGAACUCGCUGUGAAGAUGCAGUGUACCCGCGGCAAGACGGAAAGACCCCGUGAACCUUUACUAUAGCUUGACACUGAAUAUUGAGCCUUGAUGUGUAGGAUAGGUGGGAGGCAUCGAAGCGUGGACGCCAGUCUGCGUGGAGCCAACCUUGAAAUACCACCCUUUAAUGUUUGAUGUUCUAACUCGGCCCCAUAAUCUGGGGUGAGGACAGUGUCUGGUGGGUAGUUUGACUGGGGCGGUCUCCUCCCAAAGAGUAACGGAGGAGCACGAAGGUUAGCUAAUCACGGUCGGACAUCGUGAGGUUAGUGCAAAGGCAUAAGCUAGCUUGACUGCGAGAGUGACGGCUCGAGCAGGUACGAAAGUAGGUCUUAGUGAUCCGGUGGUUCUGAAUGGAAGGGCCAUCGCUCAACGGAUAAAAGGUACUCCGGGGAUAACAGGCUGAUACCGCCCAAGAGUUCAUAUCGACGGCGGUGUUUGGCACCUCGAUGUCGGCUCAUCACAUCCUGGGGCUGAAGUAGGUCCCAAGGGUAUGGCUGUUCGCCAUUUAAAGUGGUACGCGAGCUGGGUUUAGAACGUCGUGAGACAGUUCGGUCCCUAUCUGCCGUGGGCGUUGGAAGAUUGAGAGGGGCUGCUCCUAGUACGAGAGGACCGGAGUGGACGCAUCACUGGUGUUCGGGUUGUCAUGCCAAUGGCAUUGCCCGGUAGCUAAAUGCGGAAAAGAUAAGCGCUGAAAGCAUCUAAGCGCGAAACUUGCCUCGAGAUGAGUCUUCCCUGGGGCUUUAAGCCCCCUGAAGGAACGUUAAAGACUAUGACGUUGAUAGGCUGGGUGUGUAAGUGCAGCGAUGCAUUGAGCUAACCAGUACUAAUGAUCCGUGAGGCUUAACCUU